rnacentral:rRNA from 1 species
UACGUAGGGGGCAAGCGUUGUCCGGAUUUAUUGGGCGUAAAGAGCGUGUAGGCGGCCAGGGAGGUCCGUUGUGAAAACUCGAGGCUCAACCUCGAGACGCCGAUGGAAACCCCCUGGCUAGAGUCCGGAAGAGGAGAGUGGAAUUCCUGGUGUAGCGGUGAAAUGCGCAGAUAUCAGGAGGAACACCGGUGGCGAAGGCGGGUCUCUGGGCCGAUAUUGACGCUGAGGAGCGAAAGCGUGGGGAGCGAACAGG